rnacentral:rRNA from 1 species
ACAGUCAAAUCACGCUGAAACACCGGUCCUCGAACGAUCACCGAAGUUAAGCAGCGUAGAGCCAGGUCAGUACUUAGAUGGGGGACCGCUUGGGAACACCUGGUACUGUAAG